UGUAAUCAAUAAGAGGUCGUCCAAAUA
rnacentral:sRNA from 1 species